CGAUGAUUGACAAAGAAAUGAUUAGCACGGACGAGUAUUGACAAAGAAAUGAUUAACACGGAUGAGUGUUGAAAAUCAAUAUGGACGAGUAUUGACAAAGGAAUGAUUAACACGGACGAGUGUUGAAAAUCAAUACGGACGAGUAUUGACAAAGAAAUGAUUAACACGGGGAACGAAGUCAUUGACAAAGCAAUGAUUAACACGAAACGAGUGUGAAAAAUCAAGGAGACGAGUAAACAAAGAAAUGAUUAACACAGACGAGUGUUGAAAAUCAAUACGGACGAGUAUUGACAAAGAAUGAUAACACGAGUGUUGAAAUCAAUCGACGAGUAUUGACAAAGAAAUGAUUAACACGGACGAGUUUAAAAAUCAAUACGGAUGAGUAUUGACAAAGAAAAUGGUUAACACGGACGGAUGUUGAAAAUCAAUACGGACGAGUAUUGACAAAGGAAUGAUUAACACGACGAGUGUUGAAAUAAUACGGACGAGUAUGACAAAGAAAUGACGAGUAUUGACAAAGAAAUGAUUAACACGGACGAGUGUUGAAAAUCAAUACGGACGAGUAUUGACAAAGAAAUGAUUAACACGGACGAGUGUUGAAAAUCAAUACGGACGAGUAUUGUCAAAGAAAUGAUUAACACGGACGAAUGUUGAAAAUCAAUACGAACGAGUAUUGACAAAGGAAUGAUUAACACGGACGAGUGUUGGUAAUUAAUACGGACGAGUAUUGACAAAGAAAUGAUAAACACAGACGAGUGUUGAAAAUCAAUACGAAUGUGUAUUGAUAAAGAAAUGGUUAGCAUGGACGAGUGUUGAAAAUCAAUACGGACGAGUAUUGACAAAGAAACGAUUAACACGGACGAGUGUUGAAAAUCAAUACGGACGAGUAUUGACAA
rnacentral:lncRNA from 1 species